GCUUAGAUAGCUCAUCUAGAAGAGCCCUUAGUGCGUAAUCAAGCGAUCCGGGUUCGAUUCCCGGCCCGGGCG
rnacentral:tRNA from 1 species